AGAGUUUGAUCAUGGCUCAGAUUGAACGCUGGCGGCAUGCCUUACACAUGCAAGUCGAACGGCAGCACGGGGGCAACCCUGGUGGCGAGUGGCGAACGGGUGAGUAAUACAUCGGAACGUGCCCGGAAGUGGGGGAUAACGUAGCGAAAGUUACGCUAAUACCGCAUAUUCUGUGAGCAGGAAAGCAGGGGAUCGCAAGACCUUGCGCUUUCGGAGCGGCCGAUGUCGGAUUAGCUAGUUGGUGGGGUAAAGGCCUACCAAGGCAUCGAUCAGUAGCUGGUCUGAGAGGACGACCAGCCACACUGGAACUGAGACACGGUCCAGACUCCUACGGGAGGCAGCAGUGGGGAAUUUUGGACAAUGGGGGCAACCCUGAUCCAGCAAUGCCGCGUGAGUGAAGAAGGCCUU
rnacentral:rRNA from 1 species